rnacentral:rRNA from 1 species
CCUACGGGGGGCUGCAGUAGGGAAUCUUCCGCAAUGGACGAAAGUCUGACGGAGCAACGCCGCGUGAGCGAAGAAGGUCUUCGGAUCGUAACGCGCUGUUGUUAGGGAAGAACAAGUACGGGAGGAAAUGACCGUACCUUGACGGUACCUGACGAGGAAGCCACGGCUAACUACGUGCCAGCAGCCGCGGUAAUACGUAGGUGGCAAGCGUUGUCCGGAAUAAUUGGGCGUAAAGCGCGCGCAGGCGGUCUUUUAAGUCUGAUGUGAAAUCUUGCGGCUCAACCGCGAGCGGUCAUUGGAAACGGGGAGGCUUGAGUGCAGAAGAUGAAAGCUGAAUUUCUCGUGUAGCGGUGAAAUGCGUAGAGAUGUGGAGGAACACCAGUGGCGAAGUCGGCUUUCUGGUCUGUAACUGACGCUGAGGCGCUAAAGCGUGGGGAGCAAACAGGAUUAGAUACCCUGGUAGUC